rnacentral:rRNA from 1 species
UACGUAGGGGGCAAGCGUUGUCCGGAUUUAUUGGGCGUAAAGAGCGUGUAGGCGGCCAGGUAGGUCUGCUGUGAAAACUCGAGGCUUAACCUCGAGCUGUCGGCGGAAACCAUCUGGCUAGAGUCCGGAAGAGGAGAAUGGAAUUCCCGGUGCAGCGGUGAAAUGUGCAGAUAUCGGGAAGAACACCCGUGGCGAAGGCGGUUCUCUGGGACGGUACUGACGCUGAGACGCGAAAGCGUGGGGAGCGAACAGG